GUAAACGGAGGCCAUUACCAUGUGAUUUCAGCGAUGUUUGUAAACAUGCGUCAGCCACAUGUGAUUCUGGCGAUGAGGAAAGACUCUCCAAGCGCCGGGCCAAUCAGCAGACGGGGGAGUGUUGGGGGCGGGGCCACAGUGUUGCGCUAUGGAAAAUCGUUAUGGGGAUACACUGUGAUAAACGUGUGCUUGCAGAUUGAUAAUAGCGACAGUAAGAACGAAACAGGAACCUGAGCGAGGACCGGGUUUGACUGGCGCCGGCCGGGAAGCGGAUGCGCCUCCUUCGGCACGGGACGAAAACAGGCUUGGGAUAAACACGAGGCGUCAGCUUCUGCCUGUGCUUCUUCCUGAAGACAUCCUCCCCAGGGAACUGGUUUCAGAUGGUGUCUUAGAGUAUCAAAUCCCAUCUAGCACCAUUUGAAAUCGGUGUUCUUGAGCGGGAACAGACCUCGUUCAAGCUGCCGCAUUCACACGGAGGUUCAGCGACAUCGGGUUCGUCCACGUUUCACAUCCGGGUUUCAUUCUGUCCGUUGAACGGAUUGAGGGGCUUUAAAAAGCCUGAUGCUGGCGCUCAGAGCUAAAGUGUUCUUAUCUCAUCUCAGCAAGGCUGACCGUUUUCCUCUGGUGUUCAGAGUCUCCAUCAUGUCUAGCACCACCUGAAAUCGGUUACAGUGCUGAGAGAAUGACAACCAAGAUGUUGCUUCUGCAGCUGUAAGUCAUUUUCUUACCAGAAGAUGGCAGCAUUGGGCUUUUCAGCACACGCAUCAGGUCAACAAAGUUUGUGGUAAUGUUUUUUCUUAAGCUCAUGUCUGAUAGAGUUCUUCAGUUAUGCAAUCAUUUCCUCAAACCUUAACGCAGCGUUAGGCGAAACAGUUUAAAGGGGUAUAUUACAGUUAAUCAUUAGUGGCUUCAUAGAAAGAUUCAUUUAUCUACAACACCAUAAAAUACGAGAGGUGAAAACCGUCUGAGGCCACUGUAAACUGUCCAUAGACUUUUAUAUAUUUCAUAAACAAAAUGAAUAAAAGUGCUUGCUUAAAACUUG